rnacentral:rRNA from 1 species
GUGGGGAAUCUUCCACAAUGGACGAAAGUCUGAUGGAGCAACGCCGCGUGAGUGAAGAAGGGUUUCGGCUCGUAAAGCUCUGUUGUCGGGGACGAAUGUGCAGUAUUUGAAUAAAGUAUUGCAAUGACGGUACCUGACGAGGAAGCCACGGCUAACUACGUGCCAGCAGCCGCGGUAAUACGUAGGUGGCAAGCGUUGUCCGGAAUUAUUGGGCGUAAAGGGAGCGCAGGCGGGAAGGUAAGUCGGUCUUAAAAGUGCGGGGCUCAACCCCGUGAUGGGAUCGAAACUAUCUUUCUUGAGUGCAGGAGAGGAAAGUGGAAUUCCUAGUGUAGCGGUGAAAUGCGUAGAUAUUAGGAGGAACACCAGUGGCGAAGGCGACUUUCUGGACUGUAACUGACGCUGAGGCUCGAAAGCCAGGGGAGCGAACGGGAUUAGAUACCCCAGUAGUCC